AUUGAACGCUGGCGGCAGGCCUAACACAUGCAAGUCGAACGAGUGGCGGACGGGUGAGUAAUGUCUGGGAAACUGCCUGAUGGAGGGGGAUAACUACUGGAAACGGUAGCUAAUACCGCAUACCAUCGGUUCUGCCCAGAUGGGAUUAGCUAGUAGGGGGGGGAACGGCUCACCUAGGCGACGCUCCCUAGCUGGUCUGAGAGGAUGACCAGCCACACUGGAACGGAGACACGGUCCAGACUCCUACGGGAGGCAGCAGUGGGUAAUAUUGCACAAUGGGCGCAAGCCUGAUGCAGCCAUGCCGCGUGUAUGAAGAAGGCCUUCGGGUUGUAAAGUACUUUCAGCGGGGAGGCGUUACCCACAGAGGAAGCACCGGCUAACUCCGUGCCAGCAGCCGCGGUAAUAC
rnacentral:rRNA from 1 species